rnacentral:miRNA from 1 species
CCUAACCUAGGAGUUCGAUGGGAC